rnacentral:rRNA from 1 species
CCAAAUGAUAGGAAUGCUUAGUGGCGGACUGGUGAGUAACGCGUGAGGAACCUGCCUUUCAGAGGGGGACAACAGUUGGAAACGACUGCUAAUACCGCAUGACACUUUUGGGAGACAUCUCCUGGAAGUCAAAGCUUUAUGUGCUGAAAGAUGGCCUCGCGUCUGAUUAGCUGGUUGGUGAGGUAACGGCCCACCAAGGCGACGAUCGGUAGCCGGACUGAGAGGUUGAACGGCCACAUUGGGACUGAGACACGGCCCAGACUCC